rnacentral:lncRNA from 1 species
CUCAGAGCCGGAAAGCAAACAGCUGCUGUAGCCUGAUUUGAGUUAAAAUAGUGUGAGUGUUUAGUCUGGCGCACGGCUUCAGGGGAGAUUGGCAGCUGGGUCAAACAAAGUCCUUCCAUUGGCUCCCUUCCCAGGCAGCUUCUGCUAGUGUUUAGGUACUAGUGCAGUGUAGAACCCUUUUCUCAGGCAAAACCUAACAUCUGACCGCACCCUUUUUGCUAUUAAAAAAAAAAAAAAGCUUCUAUUUUUUUCCUCCUGUCGUUAAGAUAAAUUCUCCAGUAGACAACCUCUCCCACUAAUUGUGUAUUAGCAACGUAUUUUAUCUUGAGAGCUUGUACACUGGGCUCUCAACGUGGUGUGGAAGGUAGCCUGUUACAGUGCUGGAUUCAUAAAAGGGCCUUUAUGGUUUGUGAAAGAAUAUCUGUGUGCUUAGGGAGGAAACUUUUUGAUCUGCAGAAAAGCCAGAAGACAUCUAGGACAUCCAUAAAAAUUCAUCAGAGAGCAUUUUACUACUGAGCUGCAAAGGGAAAAACUUAAAAUGGAUAUGAAAAGUGAAGAAAGUGAUCAUAGGAGAAAACCAUUUCAGGUGUCUGAUGAUUUGUGAGCCUCAAGUGACUACUCUGUGGAAUCAUCUGUCCUUGCCUUUGAAUUAGCUUUCCCUAGGCCAUGAGUCAACAUUAGUAGUUUAUACAUCCAAAUUGAUGACAAGAGCACCUCAAAGGCAGCAGCCUCAAGGAGCAGCCAUGGCCCCAGACUUGUCGCACGGAUGCAGAAAACUUAAUGGAGGAGGCUGAGGUCAGAAUGGGAAGAGUUUUUAAAAAAUAAAAAGGGGAGCUAAUAUGUGAGGAACUGAUUGCUGUGCAUUAUUUUCCACUGAACAGACCUUCUUUUAACUUCUAAUCUCAAGCACAUAGCAGCUGUUGUUUUCAUAUUAAAGAUCAGUAAGUGUUUGUUGAAUGAAUGUAUAAAUUCUUCCCCAAUCUCUGUUCCAUGUAAUAAGAACUAAGUUAGCAUUCAAUUAUAAAGAGGACUUAGAAAGUCUGCAGACAUUUUUGAUCAAAAAUCCUUUUAACUGUCUUCUUAUGGUUCCCGGUAACACCUAAGCCCAAAAAACUCAGGUCAUUUCUUGCCUGUACUGUUGCAAUAGCCUCAUAAUAACUAGUCUUCUCCUUUAUCAACCACAGUCGUCUCCGCUACACAAAGAAGAGAGGGUGCUAAUCUAAAGUGUAAAUUAUUUUAAAUCAGCACCCUUCUUGUAAUUUCCCAGUGGUUUUUCCUGUCAUAAGAAUAACAUGCAAAAUUCCUUGCUUGCAAAGCCAGGUAUGACCUUGCCCCGUCUACCUUACUGGCAUCGUCUCUCAUGACUCUUCCCCUUUUUCACUCUCCAUCUUGCCUUUUCCCAACCAUGCCUGCUAGUGAGCCUUAGCCCUUGUGUUUUCUCUGCCAGGGAUGCAUGACUGGCUUCUUUACUUUAUUCUGAUCUCUCUGCUCAAAUGUCAUCUUUUUAGAGAUAGCUUUCCUAAACAUCUUUAAAAGUACCCCAUGAACUGUGAAACACCUUUCCUGCUUUUUCUUCAUAGUACUUAUCACUUCCUGAUAUUAUGUUAGACAACAAGCAAAUAAGUAUAUGCUGUUCCCACUAAAAUAUAAGCUCCAUUUGAACAGGAGCCUUGAUUAUUCCUGAGUAUACCCCUAGUGCCCAGAACCUAGUAGGGCUUUAAUAAAUAUUAGAUUCAUUUGUUGAAUGAAAAAAUGAAUGAAUAAUUGAAUAAAGAUAUCCAGGUAGAGUGUCCGGGCAGCCCAACCUAUGUGAAGCCAGUACAAGAAUGUUUCUGUGACAUAGUGAGCGCAAUUAUUCCUCUAAAUGAUGAACUUGCAUGAGUACACAAGGAUAAAAUUAAGCACGUAGUUUAGAUUUCUGCAAGUCUCUUCCUCAGAUUGAGGAAAAACAAAGAAAUUGAGCUUAUUCUCACCUCAUUCUUACAUGAACUAAAUCCAGAAUAAAGCAUCAUUUAAAUACCAAGCACAUCCCUACCUCAGCCACUCAUGGAAUACUUUAUCUGUAAAGGGACAGAUAGAUAGUAAAUAUUUUUGGCUUUGGGGACCGUACAGUCUGUGUCGCCACUACUCAGCACUUCUGUUGAGGUGUGGAAUCAGCCCUAGACAACACAUAAACAAAUGGGUGUGGCUGUGUUCCAAUAAAAUGUUAUUUAUAAAACUAGGAAAUCAGCAGAUUUAGUCCACAGGCUGUAGUUUGCUGACCCUUGAAUUAGAGAGUCUUCCCCAAAUCCUCUUCCCAAGUUAUUGAAAGAAUGCCCAUAGGACCAUAGCUCCCUCACCUGGUUCUUUCAAGAAAUGAGACAAAUUCAGGGAUGGUUGGAGGGUGGAACGCCUACCUGUGACAUGACUAUUGAGCCUGAUUUCUUUCCUUUUAUCUCUUUAAAGUGAGUCAGGUCUUAACUUUAAACUGUCUCUAAAGUGGCAAUAACUGGGCCAUGUCAAAUACUCCCAAUGACAAAAUUUCUUCUUGGAGAAUGAAUGAGGGUUGCAUACAGUGGUGUGUUGGUAAAUGUUUAGCAACUGGCUCUCUUACUGAUUUCUGUAGUGUAAAUUCUCCCAUCCUGGCCAUCUGAAACUACCAAUAUGAUGUCACUUGAUGUAGAGUUGGGAAAAGACAGUCUCUUGAAUAAGUAUGAGCUGGUUCCAGCCCACUGCUGAACACAUAUUUAAAAGCUACAAUAGCUCUGCUCACUGCCAUUGCAGAGUCUGGAGGAAAGAGUAGCAGGCUUGAUAGGAGCAAUUGGCUGAAUAAUCUUUUGCAAUGCCAAUAAAUAAUGAAAAAGUAUAUAAAUAUAACGCUGUAUAGAAAGCUCUCAAGUUCAGUGUUUGGUUAAAAUACAUACUCAGUAAAUGGUAGCUAUUAUUGUCUUAGUUUAAGUUAUUGCAAGCAUUAAAAUUAAAUGUUUAGCUACAGACUCAAUCCAGUUUUAAUGUCAUUGUGUUAAUAAGGCCUCUUAACAUUGAAGCAACAAAGAUAAAGGAAUUUUUUUGUAGCUAUUCACGAUUCUGCCCAGCUCAAGGUAAAGAUAGCAACAAAAUACUCCAACCAGAAUAAAAGAAGUCUCCACUUGACUGCAGCUCUUCGCAACACUUCACAAGGGUCAAGCUGUGUUAGUUUCCUUCAGUGUUAAACAGAAUGCAUCUUAAGAGAAUAGUUCAAUUAUUGAUUGAAUAGUAGGUUCAAGUUGACUAUAAUCCCAACUAAUACACUCUAAGACCAGGGAUGGGCCGACAGAAGGGUAAAGUUUUCCACUCAAGUCUCGAGGCAAACACUCAGAUAGAAGUAGUAAUAUGGAUGCCUUCUAUUAUUUGGUCACAUACAAUACUGUUCCAGCCCAGUUGUGCAAAACUGGUGAAAUAAAAGGCAAAAAUAUUGACAACAGUUUGGGUAACUGGAUUCCAAAAUGGGCAUCCAUCUAAGAGAAAUUAAUGAAAAAAAAGCAUAUGGACCUUGAAAUACAUUAAUACACAGUUUAGGUUUAAACACUCAGUUUUUAUUAGAAAAGACUAACUUAUCCUGUUUUGAACACUACAAAAGUGCUUUCUGAACCAUUUACUCUCAAACCUCCUCCACCCAUUCCCCUCCAUCUAUAACGCUUUCUGCACAUCUGUAAAAGGUAUGACUUAGUGUUUGGUCUGUGAAAUAAGGUUAAAAAGGAAGCAUUUCUUUUUACAUUCUAGCUAAUGUUGAUAUUUUUCUCAUGCUUCUAUUAGCACAUAAUUCAGAUACAUUAGUUUUGAAGUUUUGAAUCUUCUCUGCUUCUUGAGGGCUCUCUGUUCUAGAUCAACAUGAUCUGUGGAACACCAGCCAAGUCCUGGGCAGAACCCUCCCCGUUGUCCAAAUAUUACUGAAUCAGUUGAGUUUUCUCUGUUGUCAAUGAAUUAUUCCACAUGUUUCUUUGGCUACAUUUUUUUUGGCUUUCUGUUCACAGUAAAUAUAGCCUUUGUUUUUAAAAACUUCUAUUAUGAAAAUUCCAAAUAUAUGCAAAUUAGAGAGAAUAGCAUAAUGAACCUCUAUGUGCUUAUCACACAUAUAGGUUCAACUAAUUAAAUUAUAUCAAUUUAUGGCCAAUCUGGUUUCAUUUAUAACAUCAUUCGCUCAUUCCUAACUCCCUGGAUUAUUUGAUUGACAUGUUUCUAAAGUUCCUUUUAAUCUGUAGGUUCCCCCUCUCAUUUAAUCUUUUGCAACUUAUUCAUUGAUGAAACUGGGUUAUUUGUCCUUUAUUGUUUCUCUCAUUCUGAAAUAUGCUGUAAUGUCAUUAACCAUAUUCUUCUUUCCUGUAUUUUCUGUAAGCUUUGAGCUAGGCAGAAAUAUUUUAAUCAGAUUCCUUUUUUUUUCUUUUAGCAAGAUUUCUUCAUAAAUAAUAUUGUAUGUGUUCAUGAAAAUAGAAAUAAAAAUAGAAAUAAAGAAGAAAUAACAGAAAAAGGACAGAAAUUGUUAAAAUUUUUUUAUGAAAACAGAUAGUAAAUAACAUUGUAAUAAAUCCCAACAGAACAUAGAGAACCUGACUUUAUUGACGUUAGUGGGAGGAGGUUUGUGAUUUUAAAACUAUAUAUUAUGGUUAUGUCAUCUAAAAAUCAAAUAUUCAAGCACAUAUAUUAAAAUUAGUCAUCAUUACAUUUUUCCAAAAUAAAAAAUAAAACUAAACCAACAUUAACCAUCAGUGAUUCCAUCAACUGAGCAAGUUUGAGUAGCAUUACCCUAGUGAAUAUCAGACUAUCGAUUAUUCUAUUCAUGUACCUGAAAUUGGAUAACAGUAUGAAGAAUUUCCUGAACAAAUACAAGAUACAUAUUUAGACCUUCUCCAGUCUAGAGGAAUACUUGCUUCUUGUCAGAAUGAAGAAUGAGGAGUAUUGUUUUAGAACUGGACUUCUUUGAUGACCCUUAAGUAAACCAAUAUGGACCAGAUAACAGGAGCAUUUCAAAGCAUCAGAAUUUUGGGGGAUUCUUGUGGUGGAGCACAAUGAGGCAUUCCAGCCUACUCUAAGAAAAUAGUUCAUCCCUGUCAAUAUCCUGGGAAGCAGAGUUCAGAUAAAACUAUGAAGACACAAUGUAAAAUGUCAGUUGUCUUUGCAAAACAUUAAGUAUAUGUGUAUUCUUGGGAAUGGGGGGAAGUAUGUAAUUAUUUGUGGCUUUUCAAAAAUGAAUGGCUUUUGAAAAGCCACCUCUGUAGUGCCUUUUUGAUUCCUCUUACGAAAAAAACAAACCUGGAAAAAUUAGUAGUCUUUAAUUUAUAGUUAGUUAGCACAUUAUGACAGAACUUUAAUCUCAUAUCUCACUAGGUAGAAAUGAAAUAAUACAUUUUCCCAUUAUAUAUUGAUUGGAGUUAAUUAAAUAUAGUUAGUAUUCCAUUUACAUUGAUGCUUUUUGUUCAAAUCUAUGGUAUUAUGUAUAAAUAUGCCAAUUAUUCAGUAAAACAUCACUAAAAUUAAACCUAUAUUGUUAUGAAGCUGUUAGAAAAUAUCUUCUUUGAAUUCUGAGAGCUGUAUUAUAUUAGUUUAACUAGUUAUCUUGAAAUUCUGAAGUUCCUUGAAUCUAUUUUAAUUUUGUAUCAGGAAUUGGAGAGGUUUUUCCAGAAAAGUGUUACUUAAAUGCAUCAAAUGCAAUGUGGGAAUUUUGACCCACUUCUUGUAUUUCUAUUUUCCUGCUGUUUUUGCCCCCAGAGGAAGAAUAUAAACAUUUUGCUUAUUGUAACACAUUGCUUCAUUAUGAUAUAUUAUUGUUACCAUUUUUUUAAAAAAAGAAUGUUUCUAGGUUUUAAUUAAGCUCCUUCACCUAAUAUGUAAUUUUAAAGUUAUUAUUUCAUAUAAUAUCUAACUUGCCACAG